UAAUUAGACCUUGAUUAGCUGGUUCAGGUGUGUUUAUUUGGGUUGGAGCUAAACUCUGCAGGACAGUGGUCCUACAGGACCGAGUUUGGACACUCCUGUCAUACGCGAAUCGGUCUGUCUCGAAUAAGCCUAUUCGUCUGUGAAUCGGACUUUAAUUUGAACGGCUCGUCGUCGCUCUGCAGCAGCGGUGUUGACGUUACAAGCGAUUCACUUCCGUUGACACUGUUGAUGGAGACGUACAGGUUUCGAGUUGCCGCGCUCCCGCCAUUUAAGAUCCAAACGACAGCAAGCAUCAUCACUAUGGGAUUGUGGUAUGCCAGCGGAGGGCACGGUGUGAACAGAGAGGGCAAGGGAACAUGAAAAGGUCUGCUCUGCUGGGACUGGCACUCUCUUGCUCUGCGGCGGAAUAAAAGCGACGGCCAGUCUGGGGAUUGACACAUCAGAUGAAGAUAUGAAGUGGUGGGUGUGCGUGGAGGCGGGCCAGGCGCCCAGCGAGUCCCCGCGCUUCUCACUUGGUUAACACCUCACACAGAGCACAGAGCCAGGAAUACACUGCCUCUCUCUCUCUCUCUCUCUCUCUCUCUCUCUCUCUCUCUCUCUCUCUCUCUCUGACUAAAACAGUUCAUUUGGACCUGCAGGGUCUUCUGCUCCUCAGAGCUUCCACUGAUGGAGGUGGGAGAUAUUCUUAACUAAUGGCGGAAAAACAAGAAUGAUUAUUGAACAGUUCCAGUUGUUCCAAUUGUUUGCACGUAUGUAACUUGUCUUUCAUAGACCUUGUCUUUCAUUUUUAUGUUGCAUUGAUUUUUUAUUAUUUU